rnacentral:rRNA from 1 species
GAUGAACGCUGGCGGCGUGCCUAAUACAUGCAAGUCGAGCGAACAGACGAGGAGCUUGCUCCUCUGACGUUAGCGGCGGACGGGUGAGUAACACGUGGAUAACCUACCUAUAAGACUGGGAUAACUUCGGGAAACCGGAGCUAAUACCGGAUAAUAUAUUGAACCGCAUGGUUCAAUAGUGAAAGACGGUUUUGCUGUCACUUAUAGAUGGAUCCGCGCCGCAUUAGCUAGUUGGUAAGGUAACGGCUUACCAAGGCAACGAUGCGUAGCCGACCUGAGAGGAUGAUCCGCCACACUGGGACUGAGACACGGCCCAGACUCCUACGGGAGGCAGCAGUGGGGAAUUUUGGACAAUGGGCGCAAGCCUGAUCCAGCCAUGCCGCGUGUCUGAAGAAGGCCUUCGGGUUGUAAAGGACUUUUGUCAGGGAAGAAAAGGGCGGGGUUAAUACCCCUGUCUGAUGACGGUACCUGAAGAAUAAGCACCGGCUAACUACGUGCCAGCAGCCGCGGUAAUACGUAGGGUGCGAGCGUUAAUCGGAAUUACUGGGCGUAAAGCGGGCGCAGACGGUUACUUAAGCAGGAUGUGAAAUCCCCGGGCUCAACCUGGGAACUGCGUUCUGAACUGGGUGACUAGAGUGUGUCAGAGGGAGGUAGAAUUCCACGUGUAGCAGUGAAAUGCGUAGAGAUGUGGAGGAAUACCGAUGGCGAAGGCAGCCUCCUGGGAUAACACUGACGUUCAUGCCCGAAAGCGUGGGUAGCAAACAGGAUUAGAUACCCUGGUAGUCCACGCCCUAAACGAUGUCGAUUAGCUGUUGGGCAGCUUGACUGCUUAGUAGCGAAGCUAACGCGUGAAAUCGACCGCCUGGGGAGUACGGUCGCAAGAUUAAAACUCAAAGGAAUUGACGGGGACCCGCACAAGCGGCGGAUGAUGUGGAUUAAUUCGAUGCAACGCGAAGAACCUUACCUGGUCUUGACAUGUACGGAACCCUCCAGAGACGGAGGGGUGCCUUCGGGAGCCGUAACACAGGUGCUGCAUGGCUGUCGUCAGCUCGUGUCGUGAGAUGUUGGGUUAAGUCCCGCAACGAGCGCAACCCUUGUCAUUAGUUGCCAUCAUUAAGUUGGGCACUCUAAUGAGACUGCCGGUGACAAGCCGGAGGAAGGUGGGGAUGACGUCAAGUCCUCAUGGCCCUUAUGACCAGGGCUUCACACGUCAUACAAUGGUCGGUACAGAGGGUAGCCAAGCCGCGAGGUGGAGCCAAUCUCACAAAACCGAUCGUAGUCCGGAUUGCACUCUGCAACUCGAGUGCAUGAAGUCGGAAUCGCUAGUAAUCGCAGGUCAGCAUACUGCGGUGAAUACGUUCCCGGGUCU